UACAGAGGUCCCAAGCGUUGUUCGGAUUUAUUGGGCGUAAAGGGUGCGUAGGCGGUUGCCUAAGUCAGAUGUGAAAUCCCGGGGCUCAACCUCGGAACUGCAUUUGAUACUGGGUAACUUGAGUACUGGAGGGGAGACUGGAAUUUACGGUGUAGCAGUGAAAUGCGUAGAUAUCGUAAGGAAGACCAGUGGUGAAGGCGAGUCUCUGGACAGUUACUGACGCUGAGGCACGAAGGCCAGGGGAGCAAACGGG
rnacentral:rRNA from 1 species